GUAGGCUCGAAUGUGGUACCGGU
rnacentral:piRNA from 1 species